UUGCACGCUGGCGGCAGGCCUCACCCAUGCAAGUCGAGCGGAUGAAGGGAGCUUGCUCCUGGAUUCAGCGGCGGACGGGUGAGUAAUGCCUAGGAAUCUGCCUGGUAGUGGGGGAUAACGUCCGGAAACGGGCGCUAAUACCGCAUACGUCCUGAGGGAGAAAGUGGGGGAUCUUCGGACCUCACGCUAUCAGAUGAGCCUAGGUCGGAUUAGCUAGUUGGUGGGGUAAAGGCCUACCAAGGCGACGAUCCGUAACUGGUCUGAGAGGAUGAUCAGUCACACUGGAACUGAGACACGGUCCAGACUCCUACGGGAGGCAGCAGUGGGGAAUAUUGGACAAUGGGCGAAAGCCUGAUCCAGCCAUGCCGCGUGUGUGAAGAAGGUCUUCGGAUUGUAAAGCACUUUAAGUUGGGAGGAAGGGCAGUAAGUUAAUACCUUGCUGUUUUGACGUUACCAACAGAAUAAGCACCGGCUAACUUCGU
rnacentral:rRNA from 1 species